UUGUGCUAAUUUGACCUAUCUGGAUGUCAGAAAUCAUUGCUAGAUGGUAUCUCGAUUAGGACAAGAAUCAGUUCCUGUGCUACCGACUUAGUGUUUGAAUUUAUGGAGCCAUGCACACAAAUCAGAUAAAGUAGAAAAGUAUUAACCUAGGUUUAUGUGUCCAAUUUGAAGUACUUGACUUGAUUGAAAAUAUAAGCUAACUUGAUUGAGAAUUAAGUUAUGGGUCAAAUGGGAUUGAAGAGUUGACUAUGUCUAGCUAGCACUAUACAUGAGGUUCAGGUUCAAUCCUGAGGAUGAACAGUUUCUGAUCUAUGAUCUAUGAAGUCUAUGAAAAAUUAGAUUUAAGUACUGAUUAAUUUUAAAUUAGAUCUAAAUUAAUGAGACUUAAUUAGAUUCAAAAUUUUAAAUUAGACUUGGU
rnacentral:lncRNA from 1 species